rnacentral:rRNA from 1 species
AUGUCUGCUGCAUCGGGCUAUGUUGCUGUUCCUCGCUGUCCGGUGAUCUUUGAUGGUACUAACUACACCGAGUUUACUGGCUUCAUGCGCAUUCACAUGCGUGGCAUCCGUCUUUGGGGUGUUCUUUCUGGCGAGGUCUGCUGUCCGCCACGUCCAGUUCCUCCGGUGGCCCCUACUCCGCCAACUCCAUCGGUUCUUCCUACGGAUGCUAAUCAGGCCGCCAAGGAUGCGGCUAAGGUUGCUGAUGAUGCUGCUGAUUGUGCUUAUGAUGAGAGGGUUUUGGCUUAUGAGGAGGCUCUUCAGACGUAUCAUGGUGCUCUGUCUGUUUACACCCAGUGGCUUGAUGAUGAUGCUCGUGCUGCCGAUGUUCUCACUGCUAGUGUUCUGCCUCAGUUUGCCUCUGAAUUUCUGGGUCUUUCUACCGUCUUUGAGAUGUGGACCUGUCUUCGUGAGCGCUAUCAGCCCUCUGGUGAUGCCUUAUACCUCUCUGUGGUCCGUCAGGAGCAUGCUCUUCAGCAGGGUGACUCUUCUGUUGAUGACUUCUAUGCACAGAGUUCUGCUAUCUGGCGCCAGCUUGAUUCUCUUCGUAGUGCUGGGUGUCGUACCUGCCCCUGUUGCCAGGCUGUCCAGGCUAAUUUGGAGUUUCAUCGCGUCUAUGAGUUCUUGUCUCGGCUCCGUAAGGAGUUUGAGCCCCGGCGUGCUCAGUUGUUUGCUCGUGGCCGUAUUUCUCUCAUGGAGGCGCUUUCUGAGAUUCGUGCUGAGGAGACUCGCUUACGUGGUGCUGGUUUGCUGGAGGUUCCCUCUGUGCUUACUACUCGUGCUUCUACGCCACUUGCUCCACCGACCCCUUCUCGCUCGAGUGCUCCGCCGCUCUUGCCCACUCCUUCUGGAGGCUCAGGUCGCCCCCGUCCACAUUGCGCCUAUUGCAACAAUGAUGGUCAUCUUGAGUCUCAGUGCUACACGAAGAAGAAACACCUGCGCAAGGCUCGAUCAUCAUCUUCAGGGACUUCGUCAUCUACCUCGACAGCUUCAGCCAUUGCUUUGACUGAGCAGGAUAUUCUGAGACUUAAGCGUCUGCUUGCGGCUUCAGGUUCUUCCUCGACGGGUACUGCUGGUUCUGUGACUGAUGCUUCCCGCACUGAGCGAUCACCCUCUACACAGUCAGGUACAUCCUCAUGGGUUCUGGACUCUGGAGCUUCUUUUCAUAUGUCUUCUCAUUCUUCCAUUUUGUCCUCUCUUAGAUCACCCGAUUCUCCUAUUCAUGUCCUCACUGCUGAUGGUACUCCCCUUUCUGUUGCUAGUAGAGGCAAUCUUAUUACUCCUUAUUCUGUUCCUGAUGUUGCUCAUGUUCCUCGACUUACCAUGAAUUUGUUUUCUGCUGGUCAACUUACGGAUUCUGGUUGUCGCGUUAUCCUUGACGUUGACUCUUGUUCUGUCCAGGACCGUCAUACGCACACUCUGGUUGGGGCUGGCCCUCGCCGCCGUGAUUCUCAGGGUCUUUGGGAGUUGGACUGGCUUCAUGUUCCUUCUGCUGCCACCACCAUCGCCGGUUCUCCCGCUUCUGUUGCCUCCGUCACUGGUUCUUUCCAGCAGUGGCAUCAUCGACUUGGUCAUCUGUGUGGUUCUCGGUUGUCUUCUUUAGUUCGUCGAGGCCUUCUGGGGUCUGUCUCAGGAGAUGUCUCUUUAGAGUGUCAGGGUUGUCGUCUUGGCAAGCAGAUUCAGUUACCAUAUUCACAUAGUGAGUCCGUGUCUAAGCGUCCUUUCGAUUUAGUCCAUUCUGAUGUAUGGGGUCCGGCCCCUUUCGCUUCGAAAGGUGGUCAUAAAUACUAUAUUAUUUUCAUAGAUGAUUUCUCUCGUUACACAUGGCUUUAUUUCAUGACUUCUCGUUCUGAGGUGUUGUCUAUUUAUAAGCGUUUUGCUGCCAUGGUUCAUACUCAGUUCUCUUCACCCAUUCGUGUUUUUCGUGCUGACUCUGCUGGCGAGUAUAUCUCUAAGAUGUUGCGUGGUGUUCUUGCUGAGCACGGGACUCUCUCUCAAUUCUCUUGUCCUGGUGCUCAUGCUCAGAAUGGUGUGGCUGAGCGAAAGCAUCGACAUCUUCUUGAGACGGCUCGUGCAUUGAUGAUUGCUGCCUCUCUCCCGCCUCAUUUUUGGGCUGAGGCCGUCUCCACAUCCACCUAUCUUAUCAAUAUACAGCCUUCCGCUGCUCUACAGGGUGGUGUUCCUUUCGAGCGACUUUUUGAUCGUUCUCCCGAUUAUUCGAUGCUUCGCUCGUUUGGUUGUAUUUGCUAUGUUCUUCUUGCCCCUCGCGAACGCACCAAACUGACCGCUCAGUCUGUUGAGUGUGUCUUCUUAGGCUACAGUGAUGAGCAUAAGGGCUAUCGUUGUUGGGAUCCUAGUGGUCGUCGGAUGCGUAUCUCUCGAGAUGUGACUUUUGAAGAGUCUCGUCCCUUCUACCCACGCCCAUCUUCCUCGACUUUUUCAGUGCAGGAUAUCUCUUUCCUCACUUUUCCUGACUCACUUAUCACCCCUGCCGACACUGUACCUCUCUGUUCCACUUCCUCCCCGGUUUCCUCGCCUAGCAUGUCACCUGGUUCUCCACCCUCAUCUCCGGUGACUUCCUCCCCGGUUUCCUCUCCCAGUUUGUCACCGGAUUCUACACCUUCAUCUCCGGUGACUUCUUCGUCGCCACCCCCUGAUUCUACCUUGUCGAUUCCUCCUUCUAUUAUUCCAUCUCUUCCUCAGCAUUACACUCGUCGUCCACGACCAGUUGAUGCCUCUGUGGAUGGGUCGUCAUCUUCCUCUCAGCCUACUUAUGGCUUGCGUUCUCGUCCUCGUCCGCCUGUUGAUCGCUUUGGAUUUCCCACCGCUGGUGCUGCUGUUCUUGAGCCGACUUCUUACCGUCAGGCUGUUGUUCAUCCUGAAUGGCAGUUUGCGAUGGCAGAGGAGAUUGCUGCUCUUGAACGCACUGGUACUUGGGAUCUUGUUUCUCUUCCUCCCGGAGUCCGUCCGAUCACUUGUAAGUGGGUCUACAAGGUUAAGACUCGCUCCGAUGGUUCUCUUGAGCGUCACAAAGCUCGUCUUGUGGCUCGUGGUUUUCAGCAGGAGCAUGGUCGUGAUUAUGACGAGACUUUUGCUCCUGUGGCUCAUAUGACCACUGUUCGUACCCUUCUUGCCGUUGCCUCCGCACGCCACUGGUCUAUAUCUCAGCUUGAUGUUAAGAAUGCCUUUCUUAAUGGUGAGCUGCGUGAGGAGGUGUACAUGCAGCCACCACCUGGGUAUUCUGUUCCUGAUGGCAUGGUAUGUCGUCUUCGUCGCUCUCUCUAUGGCCUUAAGCAAGCCCCCCGCGCCUGGUUUGAGCGCUUUGCCUCUGUGAUCACUGCUGCUGGUUUUUUAGCAAGUGCUCAUGAUCCCGCAUUGUUUAUUCACCUUUCUCCUCGUGGUCGGACCCUUCUUCUUCUUUAUGUUGAUGACAUGAUCAUCACGGGAGAUGAUCCCGAGUAUAUUGCCUUUGUAAAGGCCCGUCUUAGUGAGCAGUUUCUUAUGUCUGAUCUUGGACCUCUUCGCUACUUUCUUGGGAUUGAAGUCUCUUCUACCUCUGAUGGCUUUUUUAUAUCCCAGGAAAAGUAUAUCCAGGAUCUUCUUGCUCGUGCUGCUCUUACUGACGAGCGCGUUGUUGAGACUCCUAUGGAGCUCAAUGUUCACCUCCGUGCUACUGAUGGUGAUCCUCUCCCUGAUCCGACGCGUUAUCGUCAUCUUGUUGGCAGUCUUGUCUAUCUAGCUGUCACUCGUCCGGACAUAUCUUAUCCGGUUCAUAUUCUGAGUCAGUUUGUCUCUGCCCCCACCUCGGUUCACUAUAGUCAUCUCCUUCGUGUUCUUCGAUAUCUUCGAGGCACGAUCUCUCACCGUCUAUUCUUUCCUCGCUCCAGUUCUUUACAGCUCCAGGCCUAUUCGGAUGCUACGUGGGCUAGUGAUCCUUCUGAUCACCGUUCACUUUCUGCUUACUGUGUUUUUCUUGGUGGUUCUCUCAUUGCCUGGAAGACGAAGAAACAGCUUGCAGUUUCCCGUUCGAGUGCCGAGGCUGAGUUGCGAGCAAUGGCUCUUUUGACGGCAGAGGUGACUUGGUUACAGUGGUUACUUCAGGAUUUUGGUGUUUCUGUCACUACACCGACUCUGCUUCUAUCUGACAGUACAGGUGCUAUCAGCAUUGCACGCGAUCCUGUGAAGCAUGAGCUCACCAAGCAUAUUGGUGUUGAUGCUUUCUAUGUGCGUGCUGCUGUGCAGGAUCAGGUUAUUGCUCUUCAGUAUGUGCCUUCCGAGUUACAGUUGGCGGAUUUCCUGACAAAGGCUCAGACUAGAGCACAACAUGGCUUUUAUCUCUCCAAACUCAGUGUUGUUCAUCCACCAUGA